rnacentral:rRNA from 1 species
GCUCGUAGUUGGAUUUGUGGCGUACGGUGUGUUCCGGGCACUUGUUGUCUGAGUAACCUGCUGUUGCCAUCCUUGGGUGGAACCUGUGUGGCAUUAGGUUGUCGUGCAGGGGAUGCCCAUCAUUUACUGUGAAAAAAUUAGAGUGUUCAAAGCAGGCUUAUGCCGUUGAAUAUAUUAGCAUGGAAUAAUGAGAUAGGACUUUUUUGCUAUUUUGUUGGUUUGCGCAAAGAGGUAAUGAUUAAUAGGGACAGUUGGGGGUAUUCGUAUUCCAUUGUCAGAGGUGAAAUUCUUGGAUUUUUGGAAGACGAACUACUGCGAAAGCAUUUACCAAGGAUGUUUUCAUUAAUCAAGAACGAAAGUUAGGGGAUCGAAGAUGAUUAGAUACCAUCGUAGUCUUAACCAUAAACUAUGCCGACAAGGGAUUGG